rnacentral:rRNA from 1 species
AUUGAACGCUGGCGGCAGGCCUAACACAUGCAAGUCGAGCGAGUGGCGGACGGGUGAGUAAUGUAUGGGGACUGCCCGAUAGAGGGGGAUAACUACUGGAAACGGUAGCUAAUACCGCAUACUAUCGGAUAACCCAUAUGGGAUUAGCUAGUAGGUGAGGUAAUGGCUCACUUAGGCGACGAUCGCUAGCUGGUCUGAGAGGAUGAUCAGCCAACCUGGGACUGAGACACGGCCCAGACUCCUACGGAGGCACCAGUGGGGAAUGUGGGACAAUGGGUGCAAGCCUGAUGCAGCCAGGCAGAGUGUAUGAAGGAGGCCCGAGGGUUGUAAAGUACUUUCAGUCGGGAGGCGUUACCGGCAGAAGAAGCACCGGCUAACUCCGUGCCAGCCGCCGCGGUAAUUC